rnacentral:misc_RNA from 1 species
GGAUGAAGAACGCAGCGAAAUGCGAUAAGUAAUGUGAAUUGCAGAAUUCAGUGAAUCAUCGAAUCUUUGAACGCACAUUGCGCCCCUUGGUAUCCCGAGGGGCAUGCCUGUUCGAGCGUCAUUUCACCACUCAAGCCUGGCUUGGUGUUGGGCGACGUCCCCUUUGGGGACGCGCCUCGAAACGCUCGGCGGCGUGGCACCGGCUUUAAGCGUAGCAGAAUCUUUCGCUUUGGAAGUCGGGGCCCCGUCUGCCGGAAGACCUACUCGCAAGGUUGACCUCGGAUCAGGCAGGGAUACCCGCUGAACUUAAGCAUAUCAAUAAGCGGAGGA